UGCUCUGGGGCAGCAGCUCCAUCGUUUGCAUCCUGCACAGGCACAAGCGGCGGGUCCAGCACAUUCAUAGGACCAGCGUGUCCCCCACAUCCUCCCCUGAGUCCGGAGCUACCAAAACCAUCCUCCUGGAGCAGGAAAGGACAAGGAGUCCCCGAAGCUGACACUGAGUUCAUGGGGUUGAGCUGACAGCGGCCAACAGGCUGUGAUGGGAUCUCACUCUGUCGGCCAGGCUGGAAUGCAAUGGUGCCAACUUGGCUCAGUGCAACCUCCCCACCCCGGGCUCCAACAAUCCUCCCAUCUCAGCCUCUGAAGUAGCUGGGACUACAGGCGUUAUCUCCUGUCCGGGGAAGAGUCAAGCUGCACUAAUCUAGACCAGGGAUCCCCACCCCUGGGCUGCAGACCGGUCCCCAUGGGUGGCCUGUUAGGAACUGGACCGCACAGCAGGAGGUGAGCAGUGGCACGUGGUUGAGAAGCAUCAGAAUCGUUCCCACGGACCAUGCUCCGGAGUCUCAGCAGGCUCCUGCAGUGUGUUUAUCCGUGCAUCAUGAAGGACCCUCAUACGGCUGACGUGCCUUGGCUGAUGCGAAUAACACUG
rnacentral:lncRNA from 1 species